UGCUGCUGUGAACAUUGGGGUGCAUGUAUCUUUUCGAAUUGUAACAACCAGUAUUUUUUUAAACAACUUUUGAGACUCUUACCAGACUCUGACCAUUCACUGUACAUGAUACUGUAUAAUGAUUCCAUUUGAUGUCUAUAGUCCAUAUUUCCUGCUGUUUUUGCUGGGUGUUUUUUAAGCACUUUAGUCCCCUGUGGCUACACUAUCAGAGAAAUGUGAGUGGUUAUGACUCUUAAUACAGAGCCAAAUAAAAUCUUUAAACAACAAUCCACUAAAGGUACUUUACUGGUACAUACUUUUAAGUGAAUCAUUAAUAGUAUACUCUCUAUGUAGUUGCUAUUUGGGGUCUGGAGGGGCAGAUAGAAGGAGAUGAAAAAAUAGCCUAAAUUGCAUUUAGAGUUUCCAGUGUUCCAAAGCCUGGAUAUAAAUGAAAGAUGAGCAUUUCUACUUAAUUUAUCUGGCUAGAUUCCUGUGCCUAAUGGCUGCAUAUAUACCAUAAACACUGUGAAGAAGCAACCAUGGAAACACUUGUUUUCUUGUUGGGCUAAAUUUACUCUGGGUUGAAUAUUAACACAGUGCCUGGCAGUACUUUAAAAGCAAAAAUAGCUUAAGCGUGACUCACUCUGAGUCAUUUAUUGCUAGUGUGGCUAUACUGCCUAGAGCUUGACAUUGAACAAGUUGGCAGCCUGUAUUGCUACAUUUUUUCUAGGAACUCUGAACACAUUUCAUUCUUGUGAAUUUGCUUGUGCAAGAUAUUAAAUAGAGUAAUAUGUUUAUUUUGUUUCAAAGUCAAAUGAAUUUGAGAAUGGUGCAACUAAAGUAUUUUUCUUGGGCUUUCUGGAAAAGCCAGAUUCUCAGAAUUCUCCUGUGGUUAAGGACUUACUUUAUUUUAUAAAGAAUUAAUAAAAUGUCACAGAGGUUUUGUUUCAGAUGCUUGGGCUUUUCUGAUUGAAAACAUCAGACUGCUCUGAAAAUCAUUGCAAAAAACAAACCUAAGUCAUACUGCCAAGUAGGAGUCAUUAAUUUUUCUGACAUUACCUGACAAGAUGGAUUGUACCAUUCAGAAAGGUUUUUCUUUUCUUUUUCUUUCUUUUUUUUUUGGCGGGGGAAGCUUCUUCCUUUAAAAAAAAAAAAUAUGGUGAGGCGUGCAGCGUAGCCUGCAUUGUAGUUUAGUUGGGUGUAUGACUGUAAACUUCUCUCUUGUUAUUAAAGAUUAUAUAAUGGGAAGUUCAUUGGUUUUGAAAGGCAGACCAAACCCACCCCCGGGAUUUCUAUUGGCCCUUUAAAUGUGUUGCGUGCCUUUCCCUGGGUAACCCGUGUGGUUGAGGAAGGAGUGAAUAGCUUGUUGGCUGACUGCAGGAAAGCCUCUGAAGGUUCAGUUGAUCUCAUCUGGGCUGGGGGCAGGAAUGGCUGGAAAUCGAAAACUAUGUAUAUGAGAAUGGUUUUCCCUUGAUGUUGCAAUCUUUACUUUAACAUGUUUUUGUGUUUAGUUGAUGGAGUUGCCUAACAGUAUAAUUUCAAUUGAGCCUCAGUUUCAGCUCUUUUAUUAUAAACUGUGGGGAACAGGAUCUUUUUUUUUCCUCCUAUUUAAAGGCACUACCAUUUUUGCCUUAGGCUUUCAAUGAUUUGUAUAGAAAGGCAGCCUAAAACCAAAAUGAGCCUAAGCUAAUGCUUGAUAUUAUUUUGAAAUUGUUUUACCAUAAAAUUCUUACAUAAGGAGAUGUAACCCUGGCAGGGAGUUUCAACAUAGUUGCAUAAAUUGUGUUUCAUAUUAUAACUUGUUCUCUACUUGACUUCAUUGAAAUUAAUAAAAGGACUCUUUCAGGAGGAUCUGGUGAGUUAGCAUCAUUAUUGAAAAAAAAAAAGGAAAGGAAAGAACUUACUCAUAAUGUAUCCUGUGUUGCUAAGUUUUCAAAGUUAGCUAUCUCAACCACACCCAAAAAGCCCUUUCAGAAGACUGAAAUCCAUGUAUUCAUUUAUGCUGGCUUAGAAUUUUCUUCCCAGUAACAUAAAAAGUAAAAGAGCUGAGGUUUAUAUGAAAUUUCCCCAAGAUAUAUGAUGAUUUCAUGAAAAAGUAGCAUUUGGAAAUUGAGUUGCAGCCAAGCCUUGAAUGUAACAUGUAGUUCCUUAUUCUGUGGUUAAAGAGAUCCUUUAAAGCAGGGCUUUCCGGCAUGGGUGCUAAAAAUAUCCCCAAGGUGCUUUUUGUACCCCAAGGGGGGUACCAUCCCCCUGUCUGAAAUCUAGAGGAGAGAAUGCCAGUCCUGCUAUAGCCUUCCCUUGCGUCUUGGUCAUGUGGUCUCUUUGCUGCUAUAUUUUGGCCGCAUAUAAAUGAGUUAUUUGCAUGUUUUGAAAAUUAACAAGAUUUAGUUAACCAGCCCUUGUUGGGUUGUAAACACAGGGGGCCUAAUCUAAAUAAGUCUCAGCUUAACCCAGAAGCCACUCUCUUCUUAUGCAGUGACAUAGAUGUGUUUUGUCCAUAGAAAUACAUUAAUUAAAACAACGUAAAGACUUCACUCAGGGUCUAGCAUAAAGUAGGCACUUAAUAAAAGCUCAUUAAAUCUGAAUUUAUUUAUACAGCAAAUAUUAAACCUUAUUUGAUCUACAAAGCUUUGUUCCUUCCCUUUCAUUCAUCCCUAUACUCAUUUAUGAGCUCUUAUUAUAUGCCAGAAACUGAGAUAUUUGAGACAAAAAAUUAGUAAGCCUUCAAGAAGUACAUUCUUAAUUUGGAAAGGCAGAUGUGCAAGUUAUUGAAUACAUUAGUCAUAUGCUUUUUUUUUUAAGUCUAGAUACAAAGAUGUCAUUACCUUGCAGGAGUAACUUAAAAAACAAAAAACAAAGACAAUUACUGACUUCUCUGAGCACUUCCUGUUUACCCAGCUCUGUUUAAGGUGCUGUGAGUUAGGUGGUGGUAUCAUCUCCAUCUUACAGAGGAGGAUAUUGAGGCUCAUAGAGGUUGAGCAAUUUGCCCAACUUCAUAUUCAUGAUUCAGACCCAGGAAAUCUGGCUGCAGAGUCCAUGCCCUUAACCAUUACGUAAACUGCCUCUUGUUGACUGGCUUUGGGGAGGAAAAAGAAAGAACUCUAAGAAGUAGGAGAAAACGGGAAGUCAGCCCACCAUGAUAAUGUGCCCUCUUUGGUGAGAUGUUAGUGUUUUGUUUUGUUUUGUUUUGUUUUAAAUCGGUGGUGAUUUGGGAGUACUUUAGCUAAAAUCUGUUGCUCAAAUGAAGCAGCUUCGUAAGUGGGCUCCACCUGAGGGUGAUUUACCACAUAGCCAGCAUAUCUCUUAGGCUAUAUGUGCUAAUCCCUAAAAUGAGCUGAGUCUGGGAACCUGGUGUUCUUUCACAUUACCUCAGAGACUAAAAUCAGCUCUGAAACCAGGGCUGGGUUCUGCCACGCGGAGAGGCUCUGUGGGCCAGUGCCUGGAAACAACACGGCCGACAGGGAAGCCUUCUCCUUCAAUGGAAGGCAGUGCUUCUUCUCAUCUCAUGGCUCCUUUAAGCUCUGUGACAACCUCUUUCUGUCCUUGCAACGCCAUUACCCUCAAACCCAACAAUUCUUUUUUAGAGGCAACACUCCCAGAUGGUUCUUCAGAGCCCUGCAGCUCUUGUUUCUUUCUUGGCCUUGUCCAAGUUCCUGAGAGCUGCAAGAGACGUAGGAGUCAAACCAUCAGCUCACCCUGUUCCCAUGAGCAGUGGGCGGCCAGCAUCCCCCUGCGAUGCAGGGUCUGAGGGUACAGCCAGUGAACAAGCUUUUCCAGGAAGGUCCCCGCUAAUUCAUUUGUUUCAUACUGUGCUUUGGGGUACAUUUGUUUUUAUUUAGUAAGAUACUCCCUUUUUAUUUCUCAGUACAUUUUAUAGGGAAGUGGCCUCUUAACAUGGGAGCGAAUUACACUUAUUUGCUGAACAAAGUUGUUUGCAAGGACACUUGAGUUUUUUCACUUCGGGCAGGACAGCUUUUGGCAGCUACAGACAAAAUUAUCAGACUUUUUGGUGAAGAAGGAAACAGCACAGUUUAACUAGAGAGUGAAUGCCUUUCCCAGUACAAUAGUAGCAUUUUCUUAUUUUUCAAGUAAUGAUUUCCAAAAGAUGAUUUUUAAUUAUUCUGCUUUCAUCAAAGUGUAUCCUCCCAUCUCUGAAGUUACCACCCUCUUAGCACCCACAUGUGCGACACUUAACAAUUCUUUACACUUUUGAGUCAGUGCAACCUUUAUAUUUAUUUGUUUAAAAAAAAGAAUGCUUAAAAUUUUCUUCAAGAAAAACAGAAUCAAGCAUUUUGUCUUGAGCUUUUCCCCCCUGCACAUAUUGGGAGUCCAGAUGAUGCACUUUGGAAAGAAAUGCAUUCCUACCCUGAAGGGAUUAGGAUUUUUGAUUAAAUAUUCUCAUGGUCUCAUCUUUGUGUGGACUUUCUUUCAAACAUGCCCAAUCCUGAGGUUUUGUAAUAACAUUUUAUAAAUUUUCCAGGAAAGGAAGGUGACUAUGCAGUUAUCAGAUGGUAACUUUUAAUCAUGGGACAUUCGCGUGGGUCUUUUGCAACUGAAGACAGUGCAUCCUUUGUAAUUGAAGAUAGUGCAGUGAGGACGUGGGAUGGCCAGGAAUAGAGAGUAGAGGUGAACAGCUGCUCUUCUGCUUCAUGCUACCUUAUACCUGCAGCUGGGAUCAGUUCUAAUCUCAGCCUUGAUGCUUGGGGACCUUGAGAUGCUUUGGGAAGCCAGUUUGGGUAUUGCAGACCACUCUAGAUUAGUGUUUUUGUAGGUUUUCACUUCCUGACUCCUGGAAGAAGGAAUACCACUUGUCGGAGAGGGAGUGGGAUGACUUAAGAAUAAAAGUGUGGUUUAGGAAAUGAGGAAGUCGGGUGUGGGUAGAAAAGAUGGAGAAGCAGAGGAAUAAACAAGAAUAGAGGAGAAAAUUUAGGGAGGAAAACAAUGGAGAAACAACUUUCUCUCUCCCCCUUACCCCUCCCUGUUUGACAAUCUGGUUAUUUUCGCUUUCUCCCUUAGCUGCUGCUUUUCCCUGCCCCUUCGAUGGCACCACCCUCCAGAACUCUCCUCCCUCUCUCUCAUCUGUGUGUCCUUCCCAACCCCCUGUCUUCACCCACUGAUCCACCUCCAUCACUGUGCUUUUAGUGGCUCCAUCCCACUUUGUAGAGGGGUCCUCCAGGGAGUGCCACAUUCACAGCCAUCGUUGGUGCAGCUGAUAUUCUAUGGUCACUCGGGGUCUGUUUCAGAAUCAGCCUUUACUACCCAACAAGCUUAAUCAACCUUCCAGGCUCCAUUCAAGUCAGAAUGAACUGCUGUACUCAUUCCUGUCUGUCUUCCAAUUGGGUUGGACAGUCUCCAAAUCUGUGAGACACGAGACAGGAGAGGACUUGCCAUGUCCUCGACACUGGGGGUAGAGAUCUCCUUAAUGGUGUCCGCAUGGGUUCUGCAGAUAAUAGUCAGAAAGUGUGGGGAUUGUCCCUGAUCCGUGGAAAGGGUGACUGCAGCUCAAAGAGAGCAAGUUACACAGCUGACAAGUGGCUGAGCUGGAAUGCCGACCACGUCUUUCCCCUGCAGACCUGGUGCUUUGCUGCCUACUAACGAGUCAGAUGUUUAUUUACUCUGCUUUCUAUUUAGAAUUAAGGCAGACUUUUCUUAAUUUUUUUUAAAUUUCAGACUUUAUUAUUUAAUUUGAUAUUUUAAAUAAAGGAACCUAGUUGGUCAUUGAGUCACAACGCAGGACUUCAUUUUCUAUUGAUAUCUUUUUUAAAACUAUUGCAUUAACCUUCAAUGUUUAAUGAUGUCUACACAAAUAUAUUGUGAUUAAUAGUAAAAGUCAGGAAGCCUUUUACUGGACUAAUAAAAUGUUUUAGUAUUUGCAAAUCUGGUUGAGCUUUAAUUAGAACUUCUGGGUAUUCAAGCCUUUUUAAAAUUACUUUUCUAACUAUACAAAUGUGUACAUUGUAAAAAAUUAUUCAGAUAAUAUAAAAGACAAAAGAUAAAAAUCACCUGUAGUUCCACCACUCAGAGAUAACCACAUAUUAGUGUCCUCUGUAUUUCCAUAUUCUUUUUUCUUAUAAAGUACAUACUUGCAAAAUUGGGAUCAGUUUUACAUCUUGAUUAUUUCACUUAUGAUAGUGUGAGCACAUUAAGUACUUGAAGACACGAUUUUAAAUUGAUAUCUAAUAUUCCAUUUAUGUACUUAUCAUGAUUUUCCUCUUUGAACUAUUACCUUCUACUAAUAUUCACUCACUGAAGAUCUGUCAGUUGCUGACAAUUGAUACUAUCAGUUUAAAAAUUUAAAAAUUAUAUCUUAUUCUUUGUACUUAGUCUGAAGUAUCAAAAAAUUACCAUUUGUAGGUCAUUUUUUGUUUUUAUUUAUUGUAAAGAUUAAAUAAUAAUAUGUUUUUCAGGUCGAAGUUGUUUUCUAAAAAUUACUUCAAAAGUCUAAACAAGUGAUUGGUGUUUUGUUCUGGUAAAAAUUUACUCCUUUUGCAAAUGUUUUGAUGCAUUUAUUUAUUCAAUCAGCAGACCUUUAUUAAAUCCCUUCCAGUACAGGGUGUUAACUGCUGAGAAUAAAAAGAAGAAAAGCAUGCUUUCUGCCUUCAAGAAGCUUGUAAUUCAUGCAGGUAUCAAGUUAGAAGACAAUGUUGAAAAGUUAGGUAUGUGCUUUUUUAAAAACCUUUUUAUUAUGGAACAUUUCAACAUACAAAGUAGGCACAGUAGAAGAUGGACUUCUGUGUACUCAGCUCUACCUUCAAGAAACAGUCAGCAACUCAUAGCUAAUUUUGUUUCAUCUCCAUCCUCUGUGACCUCUCCCUUCACAUAUUACUGGGAAGCAAAGAUGCGUUUUUCUCCUCUCCCAUCUCCUCUCUCUGCUUCCACCCACCUCUCUCUUUUGUUUACUUUUUCAAGUAUGUAGAAAUAUUCUUAACAUUCUUUUAAAAUAUAAUCAUUAUGUACCAAACAAUGUAGGUUAGUAGUUUAGACCAAAGUAUUGUUGUUCUGUGUGUGAAGGAGCUAUUCUCCCAAAAGAAACUAGCAGGUAAACAAAAUAUUUUAUUUCCCAAGAUUUUCAUAUGAUGGUGACCAACUCCAUUGCAAAACAAUGAUCACAUUCCAGAGUUGUAAGUACUUCUGGAGGAUUUGUUACACAACUGCCAACUCUGUCAUCUUCUACAGAAAUGUGAUCUUACAGAAAAAGUGAAGAGUCUGAUGCAUGACAGAUCACUUUUUAAGAUGCUUUUUGAAUUUUUUUUCUGUCAUGUAAUAGUCCUCAAGCUUUUGACCUCUAGCUAGGCAACAAAAAGCAUCCAACUGAAACUUCAGAAAUAUUGUAAAACUAUAAUAAACUCUGCUUUAAGAGUGUAGCUCAGGGUUGUAACAUGCCACUCAGAAGUCAGAAUCCACUUAAAAGGAUUUCAAAAGCACAAUAAAUAAGGAUCACCUAUCUUAUUAAUUUAUAUUGAUCUUUUUUGAUUUUCAUCAUUUUUUGAUUUGGGCCUUAAUAAGAUAAAAAUACAAAUAAUUUAAAACCCUAAAGAUAUUUAAUUCUUUUAAAUGUUAUUUAUGUAGAAUUUUUCUUCCUUAGGUCAAAUGGAGAGUUUGUUUUGAUUUUUAACGAGGCAUUGCUAAGUUUUGCCCACUGCAAUAAUUGAAUAGUCAGUAACUGUGCAUGUCUCAGUUGUUUUGAGGCUUUUAUGUGUUGUUGAAAAUUUUUUUCCAAAAUAAAAAGAAUAUAAAUGUACUUUUAUUUUAAAAUAUUUCAAGCCAUAUUUGUACCAAAGUAAGGAGGUUGCCCUGUAUGCAAGUGCAGAGGAUUGUGGGCUGGGGAUGACAGAGAAAUGGAGGGAGUGAAACUCACAUGGUAAGAACGUCAUGACUCCAGAAAUGUUGCAGAUUGCAGAUCUAGGUCAGUUUCUGUCAGGGACAUCACCAUGCCACCAGUCUUCCCUGCUGAAAACCUAGAAGAAAUCUUUAUCUUUUCCUCUCUCAUUCUCUACACCCAACAAAUAGAUCUUUUUUGAUUAUUUGUUUAGAAAAAUCUCUUGGCUUUAUCUUUUUCGUUCCCAUGACCAGGGCAUCAGUUCUGAUCUUUAUCAACAUAUACAUCUGGACAGUAAUAGCAGUUGAGAAGAAAUGAACUAAGGCAUUUUGAUCAUGCCAUUGUAUGUACAGUUAAUUCUUAAAACAGUCCUGAGCAUUAGGACAGUCUUUUCAUUUUUCAGAUUAUGUAAAGUGGGCAAGCUCUUUCAAGUAGGUUGGAUUGCUAAGGAAUCUCCUUACUCUGAGUCCUUCUUCCUCUGUAAUGCAUUCUAUAAAAGCAUACCAAGAUAAUCUCCCUAAAAUGUAACUGUAUGUAAUACAAUAACUACUCAAUAAAACUCUGAUCCAGCACUUUACAAAAUUACCAGAGAUUUUUCACAUUUGAUCUUAUUCUGCACAAACUGCUUCAUGAGGUUAAUAUCUCAUGUUAUUACUUCAUAAAGUAACCUGUGAUGACUUCUAUUUCCCAUCAAGCCAAUUAUAAACUUCUAAUAUUGAUGACAUUCCACGUUUUAUGCUCUGGCUUUAUGUCCGGUUACUCCUCUCUCUCAGUGUAAACUGGAGUUCACUUUAGCCAUGGGAAUGAACUUCCUUAUGGUCCUCUCUGGGUACCAUUCUCAUUUCUUCCCUAAUGUCUGCUCACAGCCAGCUCUUGUUCACCAAACCCACAUCCCCACACUUCUGUCCUCCAGCUUAAACUCUACCAGUCUUUCAGGGCUCAUUUCAAAUCCUACCUUUUCAAAGAAGCCUCUCCCAAUAAUUUCUGUCUUCCUAGCUAUUUUUGGUUCUUGGAUUCCAUUGUCAGAUAUGUUUGCCUUUAAAUACAAUUUAAAAAAUUCCCCUCAGCAAUAAAAGUAAUAUAUGCUUUGUGUGAAAAUAUUAUAUAGGAUAUUAGAAAGUCAAGAGAUAACUCCUGGCUUCCCAGUCUGGAGAAGUAACCACUGUUGUUUGUCUUUAUGGUUGUAUUUCUGCAUAUAAACAAGAAUAUGCACAGACACAUGUAUACACACACACACCUAUUUACACACAUAGAGAUAGCUAUAGAUAUAUUUUACACACAUACACUGUCCUGCAGUUUUCUUUUUCCCCUGGACGAUGUAUCUUAAAAAUCUUUCCCUGUUAGUAAAUGUAAGUGAUUUCAUUUAAACGUAUCUCUUUAUUGCCUCAAAUUGUUUCAUGUCAGAUUGUUUUCUGCAUAUGCUUCUUAUCCUCCUUCACAAAAAGGCAAGGAAAACUCCUCAAGGCAAGAGUCAUCACAUAUUCAUUCUCUUUUCCAUUCCUUUACUCCUCACUUUGCGCAUUUACUGCACAAAGAAAAAUUUCAGUAUUUGUGCUGUGGGAAAUCGAAGCUAUUUAUUUCUCAUAACCCCGAAGAAGUUAGGAUCUAGUAGGUAAGAAUCUCCAUUUAUACAUAUAACUGCAACACAGGAAGAAAUUGAGAAGUGACACAAAUAUUUGUUAAUGGAAAUAUAGCUAAUUAAGUUAUUCGAACAAUUCUCCUACUGAAAAUGAUCAAAACUGUUGAAUAUGUAUGAGAAAACAUCCUCAAAGCAGCAAAGGCCUGAAAAUCUAAGGAAAUCUAAGGAAAAGCGAGAGUUUAGGGAAGGUUAGAGAACUGAAGCUGCUUUUGCCCAGAGGACGUUUGCUGAUCCAGGCGAAUUCAGACUUUGCCUGCCUCAUGGGUGGUAAGACUACACAGAAAGCUAGGAAAUAACUAACACAAAAUUUAGCAUAAUGAUUUUUUGAGGGGAAGGGAGUUUCUGGAGUACUCAGAAUUCUCUUUUUAUUGACUUGAUGGGAGCUGUAUAUGGUAAUUUAUUUUCUAACCUGAGCAUGUUUAUUUUAUAUGCUUUUCCAUAUACAUGUCAUAAAAUUCAUAACAAAGAAUUUUAAAAAAAGUUAUAAAACAAUAUAUAUGGUCUCACACAUGUGUGCAUCCUACAUAAAUGUAUACGUGCAUGUGUGUAUUACAUAAAUGGAAUGUGUAAUAGUAUAAAUCUCACAUUGAUAUAAUAAAUAGAAAUUUAUGUUUAUUUAUAAGAAUAUAUGUGUUUUGGUGAUGGAGAAGUGUGUGUGUGUGUUUCAUAUACGUAGAAAAAGAUGUGGAAAGAGUGUUCACCAAGUGCUGAGGACAACCCUGAGAGGUAGAACAGAGAUGGGGAAGGAGCAAGAAAGGAGCUUAUUACACUUUGUGCUUCAAACCACUGUUGUUAAUUUUUAAAAAUAAUUAUCAUUAUUACUUAGUAUUUAAAAAUAGAUUUUUAAAAAUGAAAAAAAUUUUAAAAAUAGAAAAAAAGGCUUUUGUCUCUGCCCUUAGAUAUGAAAGUACUCCCUCUGCCAGGCUCCAUAUCACUUGGCAUAGUACCUUUUUUUUUUUUUUAAAUGUCUUUUUCCUUUGCUAGACUGUAAGCUCUUCAAGGGGACAAGACAAUUUUUGUCUUUAUAUUUCUUGUACCUGGUUAAUCCUGGCACAUAGGAGUGGAUCUCUAAAUACUAGUGGAAAAUGCAUGAAUAAACGUACCUUAAGAAGAACCUAGGAUUGCAGACAUCCAGUGGGUGUAACAUUUCCUUACAGGCUCUUGUUAUACUUUUUGAAUAUUCUUUUGUAUCUGGCACAGCAGUGGGCGUAAAGUUGGCACAGUGAAUACAGGUUGAUUUGAAUUUAACUGACACUUUGUGGAACCUGUAGGCAAUGUGGAGUCCACCACGUGGUGCCCCUCUUGAUCCCAGAAAGCAGGAAAAUGAAACACUGUCUGAAAAUUAAAACUAAAAAACGAACACCUAAUAGAAUUAAAGCCAAGAGAGACAAUGUGAUCUUAUGAGACAUCAAGACCCCUUGGGCAGAAAGAUUUGCCUGUAACUUAAUUGGGAGGUUACUGACAUCUUAAAAACACACAAACGUAGAAAAUCUCUGUCAGAAGAGCAUUUUCUCUGUCUCCAAAACAGAGAAAAAGAAAAGCUAUGAAUGUAAUUGUCAUGAUACCUAACAAAGCACUGUCUGACCAGUAGCACCUGCCAGGUUGAGGCAAGCAGGCAGCCUGCCUGGCAGGUGGAUAGCCCAGUGGUAAGAGAGCUGCAGAGCCUCACGCCAUUUUGCACUGGAAUCCUGCGUAAUUAACUCCACUUGCUCUACUUCUGUGCGCACCAAACUUCCCCUCUGGUAAUUCGCCUUCCCGAGGAGAUAAUUCACUAUCAGGCUGGUACAGACUGAUGCAGAGAUUCAGUAUGCCUGAUUCUUCUGUUGUUCACUGUAAAUAAUAAAGUCACCUUCUUGUUUUUUUAUA